ensembl:lncRNA
GCCUCUGCUGACCGCACAUCUGAGGCACUGUAUUUAGAUGAACAGCUGAACAUUCCUCAGUGAUGGAGCGACCUCUGAUGGAGCUCGAGCUCUUGAAUCACAGCGCGUUCACGGAGGAUCUGACCAGAGGAUCCUGACAGCCCGAGGCACUGCCGACAAACUUCACACCGGGGCAAAAACGUGAGAACGGAGGACACACAAAAUAAAAAAGUCAUCUCGGUGCACAAGAUAGUCGAUAGAGUGAGCAGAACAAGACAGGACAACCUUGAGCGGGUGUAAAGGACAGUUUGAAGAAGGACCAGGCUCCUGUGUGUGACCUAUCGUCUGUGGCCUUGGGAGAGCGGCUCUGCUUUGGCCCAAUGCAGAGAUCAUCUAUCAGUUUCUCUAGGUCACAUGAGGACGUGUGUCUGUCUGUUCUGCACCCAUUCUCUG